rfam:Ictidomys tridecemlineatus contig086345, whole genome shotgun sequence.
GGGGAUAUAGCUCAAUUGGUAGAGUGCUUGCCUAGCAUACAUAAGACCCUGGGUUCAAUCCCCAACACCCCCA